rnacentral:lncRNA from 10 species
CCUAGCCCGCCGAAAGGGCGGGCAUUGCUAAAGUGUUUUCAAAAGGUCUUCCCAAUCCUCUGCUUUAGACAGCUCGGACCUUAGAUAGAAGAACACAACGGAUCCUCCAGUGACUGACGACCCAAAGGACGGAUGAUGUCACAGUCAUCUGGAUCAGGAGAUGGGAAUGAUGAUGAGGCUACUACCUCUAAAGACGGUGGCCUACUGAACAUCAGUCACACAGCAUGGUAAUAUGGUUGUUCCAACGUAUCUGCAGGGAACUGGCUCCAGGAACCCUGCAGAUACCAAAAUCGGUGCAUAUUCAACUCCCACAGUCAGCUCUGCGGAACCCACAGAUACAAAAAGUUGGCCUUCCCUUUACAGGUUUCCAAUCCUGCAAAUCCUGUAUUUUCCAUUCCUGCUUGAUUGCUGAUGUGGAACCCGCCCAUGCAGAGGGCCGACUGUAUUUAUUGAAAAAAUAUGUGUAUAAAUGGACCAUCACAGUUUAAACCCCAAUUGUUCAAGGGUCACCUGUAAACAGUUGCCUAAAUGGGCCAUGAUCUUUCUCAUGCCUCCAUGUCUUUGCACACACUGUUCCCCUUUUCAAGUAAUCCAUAGAUCUCUAGAUCUCACUGUCCUGAUACUACAAAUUAAGUUUGGAUUUGUAUGAUUAAUAUACAGGUUACAACGUUAAGCCCCCAUAUUGUGGACCAUAGAGAGUCCAUUCUUCCACCAGGUUGGAGGGUGCAUCCCCCGCCCUUGAGUAAUUUCCAGAAAUCCACAAGGUAUGCUUAAAUGUUACAAAAAUCAAUCCUAGUUGUCAUUUGUUAUCUCUGCCAGCUAUUCUUUCUGCAUACUGUCAUGGUCUGCCUUCAAUAAGUCACCACUUCCUGUCUUGAAACUUUUUUUAAAAAAACCUUUUAGUUUUUUUAAUUUUAAAAAUUUCUGCAAACACUAUGGCGACUUGUGUAAUUUUAAUACAUACAAAAGAUGUAUGAUGUGUAAUUUAUGGAGCAUAAUUAUUAAAUAAACAUCCAGGAAUCUA